AACGAACGCUGGCGGCAUGCCUAACACAUGCAAGUCGAACGAGACCUUCGGGUCUAGUGGCGCACGGGUGCGUAACGCGUGGGAACCUGCCCUUAGGUUCGGAAUAACUCCCCGAAAGGGGUGCUAAUACCGGAUAAUGUCUUCGGCCCAAAGAUUUAUCGCCUUUGGAUGGGCCCGCGUUGGAUUAGCUAGUUGGUAGGGUAAAAGCCUACCAAGGCGACGAUGCAUAGCUGGUCUGAGAGGAUGAUCAGCCACACUGGGACUGAGACACGGCCCAGACUCCUACGGGAGGCAGCAGUGGGGGAUAUUGGAAAGUGGGCGAAAGCCUGAUCCAGCAAUGCCGCGUGAGUGAUGAAGGCCUUAGGGUUGUAAAGCUCUUUUAACCGGGAUGAUAAUGACAGUACCGAGAGAAUAAGCUCCGGCUAACUCCGUG
rnacentral:rRNA from 1 species